rnacentral:tRNA from 1 species
GCCCGGGUGGUGAAAUUGGUAGACGCAGUGGACUCAAAAUCCACCGGUAGCAAUACCGUGCCGGUUCGAUUCCGGCCUCGGGCACCA